AGCAGAAACACCAAGGACAGAGCUUCAUACUUGGACACUAGCAGCAACCUGAGCUUUGACCCCCACCCUAUCGACCAACUGGCACUGAACUGUUUGCUCACAGAGGGGGUGGCACUCUGAAGGCUAUCCAGCACGAUUCUGCCCUUCCCCUGGCAAUUCUGUGACACUUUUCAAUCUAAGGCCGACAGAGCAAAGCACCCAGAUUUUCUACAGCACCCUUCCAGCAGGCACUAUGAGUCCUCCGCAAAAGAAUGUGAAAGAUCAGAGGUUUUUUUCCAUUCCGCCGGGGUCAUGCGAGACCCGCGGAAGUCAACAGAAGGCAACCUAGGGACUGUCAGGGUCGCGACGUCUGGCUUGAGGUUAAUGGAAAUUACGAAGGGUCAAAAGCCGACAGUGAGCGCUACCAGAUCCCAGCCACAGUUGCUGAACAGAGUGAGUCCUAUCUCAAACUGUUCCCGAGGAGGAAGGGACCAUGUUUCAAGGGAGUAUACACAAAGUUCUGUGGAAAAAAUACAGUUUGUCCACUGUCACUCACAUGGGUGGGCUGGGAGAUGUUGGUAUAAACUUUUAUAUAGUAAUAGGAGUGGUGGAAAACUGUCCCCUUUCUUUUUGAUCAGAAAACAUCCUGCAAUAGAGCAAGACUCGACUGGAGGAUCAUUAUUCUUCCCUAGCUGCUUCCAGCUAACCCCACUUCCAAGAGUCUUCUGGGCAACCAGAAAUAGCCUGCAGACCAAGAUUUUAUCUCCGAGUCCUUGCAUAAUCGCUUGAUACCACCAGAGGGCGCGCUGACUCUGUGGCUUUAACCUGUUUGAGCGACGAAGGAGUUAGAAGGGUGAGGGUAAUGUGUUAGACCAUACAUCUCUCCGUGGACAAUAACCAAGGACAGAAAGGGAGCGCCUUCAUGCUACCAGCCAGGCGGCUCCCCUGUCUUCAGAAUCUACAUGUGAUUCCCGAGACGCAGGAUUUAAUCUGUGAAUUGACAAUCUUAGACAUGUAUAUAACACAUUCUGCUUAUACACUUUUCCCUGCGCCCACUCCUCCCCUCCUCCCACCAGAUUCUAUUCCACUUCCAUGUUUGUUUUGUAUUUUUACAAACCACUGUGAUCAAGUAGGACCACUAGCAUGGACAUAUGUAUGAAGCUAUUCACUGGAGUAUUAGAGACGCAUCAGUAGCUACAUCAUUGAAGAUUAUGACUUCUCUCCUAAAGGCCCUACCCUGGACUAGGUGUGGACCAGUGAGCCCUUUCCCACUAUGGCUGAAUGUUGAAAGGUUCCGUCUUUUGAAGGCUUUGUGUAAGCAACUGUAGCUGAUAUAUUACAGCUGGGGCUGGAAAGAUUGUGGUUAAGAGAGAAUUCAAGGGGUUGGGGAUUUAGCUCAGUGGUAGAGCGCUUG